rnacentral:rRNA from 1 species
UGGGGAAUCUUGCUCAAUGGGCGAAAGCCUGAAGCAGCGACGCCGCGUGGAGGAUGACGGUCUUCGGAUUGUAAACUCCUGUUAAGUGGGAAGAAAUCGUAACCUCUAAUACAGGUUGCGGAUGACGGUACCGCUAAAGAAAGCACCGGCUAACUUCGUGCCAGCAGCCGCGGUAAUACGAGGGGUGCAAGCGUUAUGCGGAAUCACUGGGCGUACAGGGCGCGUAGACGGUAUGUUAAGUCUGUUGUUAAAUAUUCCGGCCUAACCGGAAAGAUGCGGCGGAAACUGAUGUGCUAGAGGAUGGAAGAGAGAAGUGGAAUUCUCGGAGUAGCGGUAAAAUGCGUAGAUCUCGGGAGGAACACCAAUGGCGAAGGCAGCUUCUUGGUCCAUACCUGACGUUGAGGCGCGAAAGCGUGGGGAGCAAACAGG